ensembl:lncRNA novel transcript
GAGCAGGGAGUGGCACUUGAUCCAAAGAGAGCCUCUGAAAUGGCUGCACCCGAUAUCUCAGCAGGUUACCCCAUAGAGUGUUGAGUGGGCAACUCAAUUAUUCCCUCACCUGAAGAAGUCUGAAAGCAAGACGAAGAGAGUCCUUUUGCAAGAGUGAUGUACAAAGCCCUACGGACAUACAGACUUCGUGUGCAAGUCCUGUGGAGGAGAGGAGAUGAGAGAGCAAUCGGUUGGUGGCAUCUGGGGACAUUAAACAGUGACGUGGACACAGUGAUGGCCUGCAGUGGUGAACCAGUGAGGGAACAAGUCCUAUGGUUGGGGAGCUACCUGAGGCUGGAGAGCAGAGUACAGCCAGGCCCACAGUGGUGCAGCAUACCAGAGUCAAGGUCUCACUAGGAUGUCCAGGCUGGCCUCGAACUCCUGGGCUCAAGCAAUCCACCUGCCUUGGCCUCUGAAAGUGCAGGAAUUACAGCCUUAUCCAAAAUCUCUGGAGGUAACACCAGUGGAAGCAACCUUAGAAGAGGAAUGAGUUGGCAGGAGGCAAGAGGCAGGAAAGCACUGAGAAUGUUUCAUCAUGAGAUGUGAGCAUCAUGUUCCAGGCCCUGAGUGCUUCAUAAAAAAAAAAGUUCCUUUUCCACCAAAACAAUGCCCUGAUUUGAGUGCUUCAUCAAAAGAGAAAGAUUUCUCAUGAUAAACCAUAUUCUAAGCACUUAGAUCACAAUAUAGUAAAUUUUCAAAAGGAAGUCACUUUUGCCAAGAUAUAAAGGCUCAUAGAGCUCAAAGAGCAUCCUAUCUGAUAUGCACCAGGCAACAACUGAGAACAAGGACCAGCCAAAGUCAUCAGAAGGGUAGCACAGUUGCUGCUAGCAGCUGCUGUGCCCUGAGGGGUGAGGGAAAUGUGGUCGCCUAAAACACCAUCAAAGGUUGCUGCUUAAACACUUCCCUCAGCCAUAUAUGAAGGCUAAAUCAGAUAAAGAUCCCAGGAAGUGUGCAACAGGCAAUUGCAGCCAUUCUCAAAAGGAUCCUGUCUUCCCAAAAUAAAUGUCUGCUCCACUUGAGUUAAAA